ACUUGAACCGGGGAGGUGGCGGUUGCAGUGAGCCAAGAUCGUGCCAUUGCACUCCAGCCUGGGCAACAAGAGCGAAACCCCGUCUCAAAAAAAAAAAAAAACAAACACAAAACAAACAAACAAAACCUAGUGGCUUAAAUAACAACGAUCUUUUUUUUAUUUUCUCCAGAUUUCUGGGGGUCAGGAACUCGGGCAAGGUUUAGCUGGAGUCUGUCCUGCAGUUGCCUUCGGACAACGGCUGGAGUUGACUAGUGUGGGGCUGGCCAGGCGUGUGCCCACAGGGGUGCCCCCGGCCUCCUCGCAGCAGGCAGGCAGUCUGGCAGCUUUGAGAGCAGGUGUUCCUGUGCCACACUGACGACCACCAUCGGACGUCACAUAGUGUCACUUCUGCCAUACCCCACUGGCUACAAGCAAGUCACCUGCCUGCCCAGACUCAAGGGGAGGGGACACAGACCUCCCCUAUCUCAGAAGGAGCGUCAGACCGCAGUGUCGAAAAGCGUGCUGGGCAGGAAACACCAUGGACCACCCUUGGAAAGCACCGCCUUGGCCCUGGAGGUCCCGGGAAGUGGAGCUGGAGCAGGGAUUCAGGGCGCGUGGCUUAUUGAGGGAAGGCUCUUCAAUAAACGCCUGGGAGGGAGGGAAGACAGCGGCACGGGGAAGGGGAAAGAGCCGAGCAAGGGUGUAGGCUCAAGUCAGGUGCUCUCUGGACCACAGCCCACACCACUGCUUUGCCCCGCCUUGAAGAAAGGGGGCCCGGCCAGCCAUCGGCUGUGACUCCCAGGCAGUGAGGAAGAGCACAGCCAGGAUGUGUGGCUCCUGUCAGCCAAGGCCGUGCUCUGAAAAGGAGGCGGGCGUGCUGUCAACAGCCCGCACUCACCACGGUUAGGGAAUGGGUGCAGCAGCCCAUGAAUGUGGUGCUGGCAGGGCUCAGUGCGGACUGCAGGGUGGUGCACCGUCCUCCUAUCUCUGCGCCCGUGCCCCUUGGCAUCUGACUUUGUUCCUUCUACGGAGAGGAUCUGCUCCCCACUCCUUCCGUUUGGGCCCAGCCAUGUCACUUGCUUCAGCCAACGGCACGUGAGCAGGUGUGACACACACACUGAGAGGCUCUGAGCUCCUGAAGAUUCUGGAGGCAAAUGGGAAGCAGCUGUUGGUGUGUUUCCAGAGAACCCCCAACCAUGGCUCAUGCUUUAGCCCUUGGGGCUCUGACUUCUCUGGAGCCUUAGACUUGCAGUUUGGGAAAAGCCAGGUUCACGGGUUCAUCUUCCAGUUGCCACAGCUCCAAGUUAGAGCCAGAGAGCGCUCCCAGCAGGUCUGGGAAAUGCUGAGCUGCCCGUUGCAAGGCAUUUUUUUGGGGGGGGUCUCCUGGAUAAAAUUUCAAUAUUAAACAUGAAGAUUUUGCUAUGAUUCAAUCCUCACUGGGCCUGAGGAAAGAGUUGUAACUACAUUUCGAUGUAGCAUUUGAAGGGAUUUAGUGAUUUUCCAUUAAUUUCUUUCAAAUGUCAAGGGUAUAUAUCUUUCUUUGAGGACUCAGCCUAUGGCAAAUUUCAGAUUUAAAAAGACCCAUCGAUGGAGUUAUGAGACCAAGAAGGGGAGCCAAAAAUCUACAAUUCAGAAAUUAUGAAACAGCUAAGUUUUCAGUUAAUUCAAAAACCGUCUCAGUGGAAAAUGUUGUAAGCUUCCCAUGCAUAAUCAAAUAGAUCUGGUUUGGAAAUGCAACGGAAAUGAAUUGCUUGUAGGAAAGCUUUCCUUCUGAAUAAAACGAUCAAGCUCAGAUCAAAGUCAUGGCAAGUGAUGGGUUCCCAUUGCAGAAAACAUUGGAGGGAAGACCACAGUUUAGCUCUAACAAGGAAACAAGUCGGAUCCUUCCUCUCUCCUUCCCAGACUGUCUCCCCCUCUUCCCCAGCCUGGCCUCACAGCUGAAAAAGCAUGCAGAAAGUGUUGUCUUCAAUUUUACGGAGCAAUGAAUUUUGUAGUAAAUAUUUAUUAGCUUCUUAGUAAAUACGAUUAAAUUUCUGGCUGAGCUUUGCAUGGCUUUCAUUAGAAUGAGCUAAGGUUUACUUUCAAGUCUAAGGAGAUACAAUAGAGUAAAACGGGGUAGACAUUCAAGUGCAAAUGAAAAUUGGUGGCGAUUACAGCAGGAAAAUGCUGUCUUCCUGGCUCUGAGCAGCAGAAGGCUCUGGCAGGGAGCCAGGGCUCAGGCCCACGUCCUGUUCCUUCUCUGCCCUCUAGAUGGGUAUCAUCAUCUCUCCCAGCACAGGUGUCAGAAAAACCUUAGCUCCUUCCCCAGGGGCUGGGGGAUGCGAGUAUCCACUAAGGGCUGGGCCUGUCCACUCCUGCCCCCUUGUCAUUGUGACCAACUCAGAGAAGGCCUUUGACCAAGGUCCUAUAGUCACCACACAGUACAGCCCAGAUCAGAGUUCCAACUCCCACCUCCCUCUCCAGUGCUCAGGACACUCUGAUGCCACUCAAUAGCCUCUUAAAUAAAGAUGCGCUUUCAUUUUGUCAAAAUGACUUCCACCCAGAGAUCCCACUCCCGGGCACCUGCCCUAGAAGAAUGCAAACACCUGUCCACACGAAAACAUGUACACACGGUCGGGCACGGUGGCUCACGCCUGUAAUCCCAGCACUUUGGGAGGCUGAAGUGGGCAGAUCACGAGGUCAGGAGAUGGAGACCAACCUGGCCAACAUGCUGAAACUCCGUCUCUACUAAAAAUACAAAAAUUAGCUGGGAGUGGUGGCGGGUGCCUGUAGUCCCAGCUACUUGGGAGGCUGAGGCAGGAGAAUCGUUUGAACCUGGGAGACAGAGGUUGCAGUGAGCUGAGAUUGUGCCACUGCACUCCAGCCUGGGCGACAGAGCAAGACUCUGUCUCAAAACAAAACAAAACAUGUACACACAUAUUUACAUCAGGGUUACUCACAAGAGCCAGGGCGUAGAAGCAAUCCAAAUGUCCAUCCACUGAUGACCAAAUAAACACAAUGUGGACUUCUCACACAGGGGGAUAUUAUUUGGCAAUAACAAGAAUAAAGAGGCCGGGCGCGGUGGCUCACGCCUGUAAUCCCAGCACUUUGGGAGGCCGAGGCAGGCGGAUCACGAGGUCAGGAGAUUGAGACCAUCCUAACUAACACGGUGAAACCCCAUCUC
rnacentral:lncRNA from 10 species